AACGAACGCUGGCGGCAUGCCUAACACAUGCAAGUCGAACGAAGGCUUCGGCCUUAGUGGCGCACGGGUGCGUAACGCGUGGGAAUCUGCCCUUUGCUUCGGAAUAACAGUUAGAAAUGACUGCUAAUACCGGAUGAUGUCGCAAGACCAAAGAUUUAUCGGCAAAGGAUGAGCCCGCGUAGGAUUAGCUAGUUGGUGGGGUAAAGGCCUACCAAGGCGACGAUCCUUAGCUGGUCUGGGAGGAUGAUCAGCCACACUGGGACUGAGACACGGCCCAGACUCCUACGGGAGGCAGCAGUGGGGAAUAUUGGACAAUGGGCGAAAGCCUGAUCCAGCAAUGCCGCGUGAGUGAUGAAGGCCUUAGGGUUGUAAAGCUCUUUUACCCGGGAUGAUAAUGACAGUACCGGGAGAAUAAGCUCCGGCUAACUCCGUG
rnacentral:rRNA from 1 species